UUAUAUAAGUGUCUCAUCAAAAACUCUUUUGAAGUGCCUUCAUCCCAUGGUUUAAUUUGGUUGGGCCUUGCCCCUCCAAAAGCUGAGAUCUUAAUUUGGCUUGCUUACCAUGGCAGACUAUGCACAAGGGCUUGGCUUAAUUCAAUUCGAGUUCUGGACCUUGCUCAGAAUUUAUGUCCUUUUUGCUCAGUGGAUCCCAAAACUAUAACCCACCUUUUUCUUAGCUGCUCUUUUUCAUGGCUAGUUUGGUCCUGGUUCAUGGAUUGGUGUGAUUUAAAGUUUUGCAUACCAAAUUCAUUUGCUUCCUUUUUCAUUCAGUGGAAAUGCCUCUCAUAUGGAAAACUUCAAUCAAAAUUCUGGUGUACUUUAUUUUUUGCCAUAUCUUGGUCAAUUUGGCUCACAAGGAAUGAAAGGAUAUUUAACAAUAAAGAGAUUCCAAUAUCAUCUCUUUAUGCCCUCAUACUUUUUCGAGUUGCCAUUUGGAGGAAGGCAAGUGAUCCAAAUUUUCCUUUCUCUGGAAAUGACCUGUUAAUCUCCUCAUCUUCGGUUCGUUCUUGGACCAACAAUGGUAGUUCCAAGUCUCUUGUUUCAUGGAACGCUCCACCACCAAACGACUUGAAAUGGAAUGUAGAUGGGUCUUCAAGAGGUAAACCAGGUGCAAGUGCAAUUGGAGGUGUCUUAAGAUAUUUCCUAAGCCAUUUUGUCUGUAUUUUCUUUUGCCCAAUUGGUAUUGAUGAGAGCAAUUCUGCAGAACUAAAAGCAAUUGAGUGAGCACUCUCCCUGCUGGUCUCAAAACCUUCCUUACUGCAUAAUACUGAGUCCGUUUUCCUUGAAUCAGAUUCACAAAACGCUCUAUCUUGGAAGAGGCGGAGGAUGAGGAUGAAGAGGAAUCGUGCAAAGAAAGAGUAGUGAGACGAUGUCGUUUGGAAGAAGGAGAGUUGUUAGUUACAGAAAAAGUACAACUGGGUGUGUUAAAAGACCAUUUACAUGGUGGUAGUGAAGCGGAAACCAUCAUUGGACUUUGAGCUUCACUCUCUAGAAUUCCUUCCUGGCAAAUUUCUUCAUUCGGUAUCAAUCUCUGCUGACUCCACAGCAUCAGACAGCACUUAUUAUUGGACAAAAUCGUCGUGGUUUUAUCCAGUGACUUAAAUAUUAGGACAUCCGCGUCUCCAUCUUCACGUAAUUGGCCGGGAUUACCAUUUGUAUUUGGGCCAUAUUGCUUCCUCUUGACUCUUGUCCAAUACGACAAUUCUUCCAUUCCAACCAAGGCUAGCCCUGCAAACGGAACUGAUUUUUAUGGAAGUAAAAGCAGGUGAUAGAAUCGUUUAGUGAUCUUAGAUGCCUCAGGUUCAUUAAUUGGAGUCCCUCAGGCUCAGCAACGCUGGGCAGAUGAUAGUCAUCACUCAUUGCCUAAUUCUGAUGAAUCGUACAUGUCAUUUCUAACCAUACUUCACUUAUUCAUCUCAUAGUCAAACUCUCACAUGAAUGUGAUGAAGAAAUUUAGAGUACUAGUACAUGACUUCUUGAUCUUUACACCGACUCUGUACUUUGCCAUGCCAAAAUCUAUUUUCUCUUAUUUUA